rnacentral:rRNA from 1 species
UCCUACGGGAGGCAGCAGUAGGGAAUCUUCCACAAUGGACGAAAGUCUGAUGGAGCAACGCCGCGUGAGUGAAGAAGGUUUUCGGAUCGUAAAACUCUGUUGUGAGGGAAGAACAAGUACGAGAGUAACUGCUCGUACCUUGACGGUACCUCAUUAGAAAGCCACGGCUAACUACGUGCCAGCAGCCGCGGUAAUACGUAGGUGGCAAGCGUUGUCCGGAAUUAUUGGGCGUAAAGCGCGCGCAGGCGGUCCUUUAAGUCUGAUGUGAAAGCCCACGGCUCAACCGUGGAAGGUCAUUGGAAACUGGGGGACUUGAGUGCAGAAGAGGAAAGUGGAAUUCCAAGUGUAGCGGUGAAAUGCGUAGAGAUUUGGAGGAACACCAGUGGCGAAGGCGACUUUCUGGUCUGUAACUGACGCUGAGGCGCGAAAGCGUGGGGAGCAAACAUGAUUAGAUACCCUGGUAGUCCACGCCGUAAACGAUGAGUGCUAAGUGUUAGGGGGUUUCCGCCCCUUAGUGCUGCAGCUAACGCAUUAAGCACUCCGCCUGGGGAGUACGGUCGCAAGACUGAAACUCAAAGGAAUUGACGGGGGCCCGCACAAGCGGUGGAGCAUGUGGUUUAAUUCGAAGCAACGCGAAGAACCUUACCAGGUCUUGACAUCCCGCUGACCGUUCUAGAGAUAGAUCUUUCCCUUCGGGGACAGCGGUGACAGGUGGUGCAUGGUUGUCGUCAGCUCGUGUCGUGAGAUGUUGGGUUAAGUCCCGCAACGAGCGCAACCCUUGAUCUUAGUUGCCAGCAUUUAGUUGGGCACUCUAAGGUGACUGCCGGUGAUAAACCGGAGGAAGGUGGGGAUGACGUCAAAUCAUCAUGCCCCUUAUGACCUGGGCUACACACGUGCUACAAUGGACGGUACAGAGGGUCGCAACCCCGCGAGGGUGAGCUAAUCCCAUAAAACCGUUCUCAGUUCGGAUUGUAGGCUGCAACUCGCCUACAUGAAGCCGGAAUCGCUAGUAAUCGUGGAUCAGCAUGCCACGGUGAAUACGUUCCCGGGCCUUGUACACACCGCC